AAUAAAAAAAUAUUUAAAAAAAUCAAAGGAUGUUUUUUUUUGAAAGAAGUAAGCUUUGUGCAAUGUGUAGGGGAGUUAGCUGAGUUCACCAAAAGUGGUUUGACAUGAAUAGGUCAAAAGGUCAAGCCGCAUAAUAGAUUUAUAGCAUUUUUUUACAU